GCCAAAGUGGUGUAGUGGUUUGUGUGUUGGACUAUGACUCUGGAGACCAGGAUUCGAAUCCGUGCUUGGCCA